GCUCUGGGAAACUGGAAUUAAUACCGCAUACGCCCUACGGGGGAAAGAUUUAUCGGGGAAGGAUUGGCCCGCGUUGGAUUAGCUAGUUGGUGGGGUAAAGGCCUACCAAGGCGACGAUCCAUAGCUGGUCUGAGAGGAUGAUCAGCCACAUUGGGACUGAGACACGGCCCAAACUCCUACGGGAGGCAGCAGUGGGGAAUAUUGGACAAUGGGCGCAAGCCUGAUCCAGCCAUGCCGCGUGAGUGAUGAAGGCCUUAGGGUUGUAAAGCUCUUUCACCGAUGAAGAUAAUGACGGUAGUCGGAGAAGAAGCCCCGGCUAACUUCGUGCCAGCAGCCGCGGUAAUACGAAGGGGGCUAGCGUUGUUCGGAAUUACUGGGCGUAAAGCGCACGUAGGCGGAUAUUUAAGUCAGGGGUGAAAUCCCGCAGCUCAACUGCGGAACUGCCUUUGAAACUGGGUAUCUUGAGUAUGGAAGAGGUAAGUGGAAUUCCGAGUGCCCAGGUGAAAUUCUUAAAUUUUUAGGAGGAACACCCGUGGGCCAAGGGGGGUUUUUGGUCCCUUAUUGACGCCGAAAGGGCGAAAGCUUGGGGAGCAAACACGAAUAUAUACCCUGGGGGGUCCACGCCCUAAAAGAUGAAUGUU
rnacentral:rRNA from 1 species